CUUCCCCUCCCCAGCGCACUACAAAGAGACCGGGGCCGGAAUAUGACAUCAUAUUCCGGCCCCGGUCUCUUUGUAGUGCGCUGGGAGGGGGAGC
rnacentral:pre_miRNA from 1 species